rnacentral:rRNA from 1 species
CGGCGAGUGAAGCGGGAACAGCUCAAAUUUGAAAUCUGGCCCUCGGGUCCGAGUUGUAAUUUGUAGAGGAUGCUUUUGGUGCGGUGCCUUCCGAGUUCCCUGGAACGGGACGCCUUAGAGGGUGAGAGCCCCGUACGGUUGGACGCCUAGCCUCUGUAAAGCUCCUUCGACGAGUCGAGUAGUUUGGGAAUGCUGCUCUAAAUGGGAGGUAUAUUUCUUCUAAAGCUAAAUACUGGCCAGAGACCGAUAGCGCACAAGUAGAGUGAUCGAAAGAUGAAAAGCACUUUGAAAAGAGGGUUAAAUAGCACGUGAAAUUGUUGAAAGGGAAGCGUUUAUCACCAGACUUUUUCUGGGGGGAUCAUCCGGUGUUCUCACCGGUGCACUUCCCCCAGUUGAGGCCAGCAUCGGUUUUCGGAGGGGGAUAAAAGCUUCGGGAAUGUGGCUCCCUCGGGAGUGUUAUAGCCCGUUGCAUAAUACCCUUCUGGGGACCGAGGUUCGCGCAUCUGCAAGGAUGCUGGCAUAAUGGUGAUCAACGACCCGUCUUGAAACACGGACCAAGGAGUCGAACAUUUAUGCGAGUGUUUGGGUGUCAAACCCUCACGCGUAAUGAAAGUGAACGGAGGUGAGAGCCCUUACGGGUGCAUCAUCGACCGAUCCUGAUGUCUUCGGAUGGAUUUGAGUAAGAGCAUAACUGUUCGGACCCGAAAGAUGGUGAACUAUGCGUGGAUAGGGUGAAGCCAGGAGAAAUCCUGGUGGAGGCUCGCAGCGGUUCUGACGUGCAAAUCGAUCGUCAAAUCUGCGCAUGGGGGCGAAAGACUAAUCGAACCAUCUAGUAGCUGGUUACCGCCGAAGUUUCCCUCAGGAUAGCAGUGUUGUAUUCAGUUUUAUGAGGUAAAGCGAAUGAUUAGGGACUCGGGGGCGCUAUAUUGCCUUCAUCCAUUCUCAAACUUUAAAUAUGUAAGAAGCCCUUGUCGCUUAAUUGGACGUGGGCAUUCGAAUGUAUCAACACUAGUGGGCCAUUUUUGGUAAGCAGAACUGGCGAUGCGGGAUGAACCGAACGCGAGGUUAAGGUGCCAGAGUAGACGCUCAUCAGACACCACAAAAGGUGUUAGUACAUCUUGACAGCAGGACGGUGGCCAUGGAAGUCGGAAUCCGCUAAGGACUGUGUAACAACUCACCUGCCGAAUGUACUAGCCCUGAAAAUGGAUGGCGCUCAAGCGUCUCACCCAUACCUCGCCCUCAGGGUAGAAACGAUGCCCUGAGGAGUAGGCGGCCGUGGGGGUCAGUGACGAA